rnacentral:rRNA from 1 species
UUUGCGUCGAAGGUAUACCGGUAAGGAGUGCUGGAGCGAAUAGAAGUGAGCAUGCAGGCAUGAGUAGCGAUAAUUAAUGUGAGAAUCAUUAACGCCGUAAACCCAAGGUUUCCUACGCGAUGCUCGUCAUCGUAGGGUUAGUCGGGUCCUAAGUCGAGUCCGAAAGGGGUAGACGAUGGCAAAUUGGUUAAUAUUCCAAUACCAACAUUAGUGUGCGAUGGAAGGACGCUUAGGGCUAAGGGGGCUAGCGGAUGGAAGUGCUAGUCUAAGGUCGUAGGAGGUUAUACAGGCAAAUCCGUAUAACAAUACUCCGAGAACUGAAAGGCUUUUUGAAGUCUUCGGAUGGAUAGAAGAACCCCUGAUGCCGUCGAGCCAAGAAAAGUUUCUAAGUUUAGCUAAUGUUGCCCGUACCGUAAACCGACACAGGUGGGUGGGAUGAGUAUUCUAAGGCGCGUGGAAGAACUCUCUUUAAGGAACUCUGCAAAAUAGCACCGUAUCUUCGGUAUAAGGUGUGGUUAGCUUUGUAUUAGGAUUUACUCUGAAAGCAAGGAAACUUACAACAAAGAGUCCCUCCCGACUGUUUACCAAAAACACAGCACUCUGCUAACUCGUAAGAGGAUGUAUAGGGUGUGACGCCUGCCCGGUGCUCGAAGGUUAAUUGAUGGGGUUAGCAUUAGCGAAGCUCUUGAUCGAAGCCCGAGUAAACGGCGGCCGUAACUAUAACGGUCCUAAGGUAGCGAAAUUCCUUGUCGGUUAAAUACCGACCUGCAUGAAUGGCGUAACGAGAUGGGAGCUGUCUCAAAGAGGGAUCCAGUGAAAUUGUAGUGGAGGUGAAAAUUCCUCCUACCCGCGGCAAGACGGAAAGACCCCGUGGACCUUUACUACAGCUUGACACUGCUACUUGGAUAAGAAUGUGCAGGAUAGGUGGGAGGCUUUGAGUAUAUGACGCCAGUUGUAUAUGAGCCAUUGUUGAGAUACCACUCUUUCUUAUUUGGGUAGCUAACCAGCUUGAGUUAUCCUCAAGUGGGACAAUGUCUGGUGGGUAGUUUGACUGGGGCGGUCGCCUCCCAAAUAAUAACGGAGGCUUACAAAGGUUGGCUCAGAACGGUUGGAAAUCGUUCGUAGAGUAUAAAGGUAUAAGCCAGCUUAACUGCAAGACAUACAAGUCAAGCAGAGACGAAAGUCGGUCUUAGUGAUCCGGUGGUUCUGUGUGGAAGGGCCAUCGCUCAAAGGAUAAAAGGUACCCCGGGGAUAACAGGCUGAUCUCCCCCAAGAGCUCACAUCGACGGGGAGGUUUGGCACCUCGAUGUCGGCUCAUCGCAUCCUGGGGCUGGAGCAGGUCCCAAGGGUAUGGCUGUUCGCCAUUUAAAGCGGUACGCGAGCUGGGUUCAGAACGUCGUGAGACAGUUCGGUCCCUAUCUGCCGUGGGCGUAAGAAGAUUGAAGAGAUUUGACCCUAGUACGAGAGGACCGGGUUGAACAAACCACUGGUGUAGCUGUUGUUCUGCCAAGAGCAUCGCAGCGUAGCUAAGUUUGGAAAGGAUAAACGCUGAAAGCAUCUAAGCGUGAAGCCAACUCUAAGAUGAAUCUUCUCUAAGCUCUCUAGAAGACUACUAGUUUGAUAGGCUGGGUGUGUAAUGGAUGAAAGUCCUUUAGCUGACCAGUACUAAUAGAGCGUUUGGCUUAUCUUU